rnacentral:rRNA from 1 species
GAUGAGUCCACAUCCUAUCAGCUUGUUGGUGAGGUAAAAGCUCACCAAGGCUAAGACGGGUAGCUGGCGUGAGAGCGCGGUCAGCCACCAUGGAACUGAGACACGGUCCAUACUCCUACGGGAGGCAGCAAUUAGGAAUCUUGCACAAUGGGGGCAACCCUGAUGCAGCGACACAGCGUGGAGGAUGAAGGUCUUCGGAUUGUAAACUCCUUUUAUAUGGGACGAAUAGAUGACGGUACCAUAUGAAUAAGUACCUGCUAACUACGUGCCAGAAGCAUCGGUGAUGCGUAGGGUACAAACGUUAUCCGGAUUAAUUGGGCGUAUAGAGAAGCGUAGGCGUUUCUGCCAGUCUUUAGUUAAAGACCACGGCCUAACCGUGGGAGAGCUCGAGAUACUACAGAAAUUGAGACAGGAAUGGGCGAAUGGAAUUCCCAGUGGAGCAGUGAAAUGCGUUGAUAUUGGGAGGAACAUCAGUGGCGAAGGCGAUUCGCUGGUCCUUGUCUGACGCUAAGGCUCGAAAGCGUGGGUAGCAAAACGGAUUAGAUACCCGUGUAGUCCACGCCGUAAA